rnacentral:lncRNA from 1 species
AAGGAAAGCAAAAAACUCUAAUUAGGAAAGAUGUAUGCACCCCUAUGUUCACUGCAGCAUUAUUUACAGUAGCAAGAUAUGGACUAUUGUGUGUGUAUAUAUACACAUACACAUACGAAUGCAUACGUAUCAAUCACAUUUUCUUUAUCCNUUUUUGCUAUUUCUUGGGCCGCUCCUGUAGCAUAUGGAGGUUCCCAGGCUAGGGGUCGAAUCGGAGCUGUAGCCGCCGGCCUACGCCAGAGCCACAGCAACUCAGGAUCCGAGCCGUGUCUGCAACCUACACCACAGCUCACAGCAACGCCGGAUCAUUAACCCAGUGAGCAAGGGCAGGGCCCGAACCCGCAACCUCAUGGUUCCUAGUCGGAUUCGUUAACCACUGCGCCACGACGGGAACUCCUCCAUUCAUCUAUUGAUGGAACUUUAGCUUGCAUCCAUGUCUUGGCUAUUAUAAAUAAUGCUGCAGUGAACAUAGGGGCACAUAUAUCUUUUCUAAUGAGAGUUUUUUGCUUUCCUUGGAUAAAUAUCCAGGAAUAGAAUUGCUGGAUCACUUGGUAUUUCUAUUUUUCAUUUUUGGAGGAAAUUCCAUAACGUAUAUAUAUAUAUAUAAGACAUGGUGACACGGCUUCCUCUCAGAUGCGCAUCACUCAAAGCCCUGUUUGCCUGCAUCCUGGCAUGCUGCUGAUCUGGACUACCAGUGUCUCUGAAGGCCACCAGAGGAGCAGACCACAUAGCUCUGCUGUCUGGAAAAAGUAGGAAAUGCCUUGGUAGUGGCGGUGCACGGGAUCAGAUGCUGGCCAUCUGGAGGGUGCAGAGUGUACAAAGCUCUGCAGGUCCCAGGCUGUCCCCACAGAAGCGUAUGGGUCUGGGUGAAUACAUGAGUGUGCGCACUUCCAUGCUAAAGAGGGCUGUUAUGCUCCAAUCUGGCCAAAGCACUGGAACUGACUCCUCUUCCCAUACCAGGACAUGCCAAGUGGCUUCCUGUUUGAAGGGCUCUCCGAUGAGGAGGAUGACUUUCACCCAAGUGCCAGGUCCACGCCCUCGAGCAGCACGUCCAGCUCCCGCCCAGCUUCCCUGGGGUACAGUGGAGCCGCCGGACCCCGGCCCAUCACUCAGAGCGAGCUGGCCACGGCCCUGGCCCUGGCCAGCACUCCGGAGAGCAGCUCUCACACGCCAACUCCUGGCACCCAGGGCCAUUCCUCUGGGACCUCCCCAAUGUCCUCAGGCGUCCAGUCAGGGACGCCCAUCACCAACGAUCUGUUCAGCCAAGCCCUACAGCACGCGCUGCAGGCCUCCGGGCAGCCCAGCCUUCAGGUCAGUCUUCCCACUCCUGGUGUCCACGCGGCUCUUUGUCACCUUGGACACUGAGCUUUUUGUGCUCUGUGGAGGCCCUUCCCACUUGGCCUGCUUUGCUCCAGGACAGCUGGGCCAUGACAGUGUGACAGGAGAGGAUGCCCGCAGCAAGGGCGGUUGUCCCUGUGGCUUCCACUCCUGCACCCAGUGA